rnacentral:tRNA from 1 species
GGGGGUGUAGCUCAGUGGUAGAGCACCUGCCUUUUAAGCAGGGUGUCGCAGGUUCAAUCCCUGCCACCCUCA